CAAGGUAGUAGUUUAAUUAAAAUAUUGGCAUUGGAAGCCAGAGAUUGGGGCAUGGCGCCAUUCCUUGA
rnacentral:tRNA from 1 species